UACAUACAACUUAUGUUUUCUAGAUAAUCAAUCAAAAAUAGAGAGAUUCUUCACCAUUUUCAAAGCUUAAAAAGUUACAUUACAUCACGUCAUCAUAAUUGUUAUCCGUUAAAACAUGUUGGUCAAUAAUCUUUGAAGGAAUGUAUUAGGGGAUGUAGAAAAUUCCUUCUUAAUUCAUAAAUUGUUUGGGAGGAUGUGCUUGACCAAGUUCAGAGUUAAUCGCGUAUACAACGAUCCAGCACGUAGUUUACAGUUUUCGAAUAAACAGACUAGGUCAUCGUUUUACACUUGUCUUAUCGACGUUCCCGCGUGUGGUGAUCAAUGGAACGUGUAACAAUUAAUUGGUAAAUCAUUACAACAAUAAUUAUUUUGACGAUCCGUUCUUCAAUUUCUAUAUUAUAAUAUCAUCUAUCUACCUACGUUAUACAUCGUCAUGUGGAGGUCAUGUAAGGUUCAAGGUUGGAGGUACCUAUAUACACUAAUAAUUUUAACACGUAUUGUCAUUAAUUGUUAUUGUACACGCGAGUGUGCAGAGCGUGUUCGAUCGUAGUUUUCUCUUGGAAUUCGAUGUCGUAUAUUAUUAUGAGCUUGAGUAAGAAGACCGUUGCUGUUGUCUAUUAUAAGAAAACCGCAGAGGAUCUCGAGUGAUUUGAUUUAUGAUGAAUCAUUUACGUAGCUCCACAGAUAAAUGAUGAAUCCUGGAUCAUGAACUAUAAAGACUGAAAUCGAUCCGUAAAUGAUCAAGAUACUCUUGGAUCUGUGUCGAUUUGAGCAGGAUUACAGAAAUAUUUGAAAAAAUACACAGAACAAAAUCGAUAUUUUUAAUUAAUAUCU